rnacentral:rRNA from 1 species
GACGAACGCUGGCGGCGUGCCUAAUACAUGCCAGUAGAACGCUGACGUCGGAGCUUGCUUCUCUGGAUGAGUUGCGAACGGGUGAGUAACGCGUAGGUAACCUGUCUGGUAGCGGGGGAUAACUUUUGGAAACGAUAGCUAAUACCGCAUAAGAGUAGAUGUUGCAUGAUAUUUGCUUAAAAGGUGCAAUUGCUUCACUACUAGAUGGCCCUCCGUUGUAUUAGCUAGUUGGUGGGGUAACGGCUCACCAAGGCGACGAUACAUAGCCGACCUGAGAGGGUGAUAGGCCAAGCUGGGACGGGGACACGGCCCAGCAUCCUACGAGAGGCAGCAGUAGGGGAUCUUCGGCAAUGGACGGAAGGCUGAACGAGCAACGCCGCGUGAGUGAAGAAGGUUGUCGGGUCGUGAAGCUCUGUUAUGAGAGAAGAACGAGAGUGAGAGUGGAAAGUGCACACUGUGACGGUAUCUUAACAGAAAGGGACGGCUAACUACGUG